rnacentral:rRNA from 1 species
GACAGAGGUGCCGAGCGUUAGGCGGAAUCACUGGGCUUAAAGCGUGUGUAGGCGGAUCUGUAAGUACCUUGUGAAAUCCCACGGCUCAACCGUGGAACUGCUUGGUAUACUGCGGGUCUUGAGCCACCUAGGGGCAAGUGGAACAAACGGUGGAGCGGUGAAAUGCGUAGAUAUCCGGAGGAACACCAAUGGCGAAGGCAGGGUCCUGGCUGGCACCUGACGCUCAUGUGCGAAAGCCAGGGGAGCGAACGGG